AAAUAUUGUGAAACCAUGAUAUUUUUAUCCAAGGCUAUCAUACUGUCAGAAUCGUAUACCUGCCCGUGCCUAUUCCAAUGUCCACAUCAAGAGCUCUGACAAUCCAUCUUGCUGAUGUGUAUUUAAGCUUUAGAGGGAAUUAAUGUUUAUUCAGGCAAACAGAAAAUGACUGUGGCAAAUUAGCAUAACUCAGUCAUUCCACCCUAUGGAAAAAAAAGUGAAAACUGGUGCUCAUCCUCUUUUGAAAGUGGAGGGAAAAGGCAAGAACAAAAGGCACCUCCGUUAGUGGUGUGAAGGUGUUUGAAGUAGAGAAUUCACAUACUUCGGAGCUUUAAGCUCAAAGACCCAUCAGUCCUUUAAAGACCCCUGCUAGACCUUCCAAGGCCCACUUGAGACAAAUAAUUAAAUGCAAAAAUAAUGGAUGUAGGCUGUGCUAGAUUGUAGAAAUCUGUGCAAAGGCAACUUGAGGUCCACAUGCUCUGUAUGCUUUGUUUAGCAAAUCUCAAGUUUUUUGUUUGUUCUCAGAAGUCUAAACCUAAAAAUGCAACUUCUGGUACCAAUUAAUGGUAUUUUAAUCAGAUCAAAUCUGACCUUUGAACCAGUCAACCCAAUAAGUGAUCCAAACAACCAGAUCCUGCUCGCAGCUGAAUAAAUAUGCAUGGUCAGACAGACUUCCACCGUCUUUGUGCAAAUAUACUUAUAAAGGCUGUAAAAUUACAGCGAGGUGGUGCCUAGAAUCUUACAAAUAAAUUCAUGUGGUGUUUUAUCUUUUUUUCCUGAUUUUUUUAUUCUAUUAAACCUCUUUCUUAAAAUAAUUUUAAAUAAAUACACGUACCAUUAUUAUUAAUUAUCAAUCCUUAUUUUAUGUAUGCCUUCAAGUAAACACAGCAUGAUAUUCACAGAGAGAGAGACUAAAAAUCCUAACCUUUUAAUCAAUAAAAGUAAAUUGAUACGCUACUACCCACUAACCGACAUGAGGAUAAAUAAAAUGUUAGUUUUUCAAUAAAAAAUUUAAAAUCAUGAGGAGUCAGUGAUAACUGUGAUUUAAGCAGAAAGCGACUAAAAAGUAAAGGUUUUUUAAAACAGACAGGUACAAAUCAAUAGCAUAAAAUGAAGCUAUUCAAUACGCAGAAUUAAAUAAUGGGGAAAAAAUGGCUUCAGAAUCAAUACAAAUCACACAGAGACCUUUAAAGCACACAGUACUAAUGGUGGGGCCUUCAGAGCACUCGUGUGAUUGGUGGCUGGCAACGAGUCAAGCUAAAACAGGAACUGCAAUGGAAGGGUUUGAACGGCUAGAGUAAACACACGUAUGAAGUGAUGGCUUUAAAAAGUCCACAACCUCCCAUGUGACAUUUGCAUAGAAGUUUGCACAUUGCUAACUGCCACAGACUCUGGGCCUCUUUCUUUCACCCUCUGGCAGGAUAUUUGACCUCAUCUCCAAUACACAUUAUCCUUCCUCUCUCGUCCAGACUGAGAAAAUUAAGUUUCCAUGUGAACUGGCCACAAAAACUCCCCGCACACAAAAUCUCAGCUGGAUGAAAGGCCUUCUGUGGGGGAGGGUAGCUGCCUGAGUGCUGCUUGAGUUUCCUGCACUCCACGUUUAGUGUUACAGCCCCAGAUGUAAGGAUUUUCCUCCACGUCUUUACAAAUUGAAGGUAGGGGCCGUCCUCUAUUUUCUGCCUGCCUAAACAUAGCAUGUCAUAGUAUAUGAUUCCAUUUCCUCUGCGCAAUCUCACCUCCAAACCAAUUUUUCCCCCUUCCUCUGUUCUCGCUUGGCUGAUUUGCCUUCUCCUUUCUCUCUUUUUGUUUCCUCUGGAAUUCUCUUACAUUUGUUAGGCAAUUACAGCCAAAUGAGGCCCUAUUAGGCAUGUCUGGAGGCCCCUUCUUUAAAGAAGAGCAACUCUCAGCGGCCUCUAUCUCUGACAAUGACACCCAAACAGAGAAGCAAGCAGGAGGGAGGAAAAAAGAAGAGAAAGAGAGAGAGAAAGAAAGGGGGCACAUCCCUCUCAGCGAUAAAGUAAAAAAGGUUUACAGCACUUCCAAACGCUUUGAAACAUGUGUAUCUUGUGUAAAUCUGAGCUUUAAAGUCUUGCCAGCCAUAUUCUGCUCCUCCCUGUGCAUAAAAGCAUAAAAGUUCCAUUAAAGCGACUACUUCAUGACGAAAUAUCGACAAAAUAAUCAGCCGCCUGUGCGCAGAGAUCAAAGAGGUAAAGCUGCUAUCAUAAGGGACCUUUAACAGCCAGCACUUUUCAACUAGGAUUGUGAGGGGCAAUAAUGCAUAAUGAGUGAAUGUGCAUAUGCACGCAACACACUGAGUUCCAAUAAAAUGCAGAUAAGCCGCAGCAGGGAGACGAGCUCACACAAGUGCACGCUGCAAGCCCAGCUGCACGUGGGUAGAGUAUGGACGGAAACCUUGCCUCUGGCUCAAAAUCGGAGCUCCAUUUUGCAGAAGCAAAGGCACUGAACUAAACCGAUUGCCCCAAACACAGCUGUAAAGCAGAUCGGACCAAGUCUGAGGAGUGCAUUGCUGAUAAACUAAAAUCACAGGGUAUGGGGCAGGCUGCGGCAAAAUUCAAAGAGGGCAAGGUCGCAAUUGAUUUCAAACCCUGGGUGGGUGCCAAAUCCAAUGAGGGAAUAAAAACACUCGUCACAUUUGGUGCAAAACACAUAUAGCACAGCAAUGUACAAGUUUUUCUAUGGCCUUACCUUCAAAAACAUAAUCGUGUAUGAAACUGCGUCACUUUAUGUUAUCAAGCCUGAGCUUAGCGCUCGGAAACGAGGGCCUGAUCAAAGUCUCUGACAGGUCUUUUGUCCUGGAAUGCGGCGAGUUGUUUUUCACCUUGCUCCAGUCGCCGCUGAUUAGCUGACAAGCCGACGAACCACCCUCUCCCCAUUUCCAAAUUAAUUUCCCUCCUUUGAUAAAGACAAAGGGGGGAAAAAAGUGUUUAAUGGCCGUGUCCUUCAAAACUAAGAGUGCUAAUAAGUGUGAAAAGGAGAUUUGUUUAAGUGAUUUUCUUUGAGACUUGCAGGCAUGGAAUUAAUUACCUUGAUUAAAUAUUGUCUGUACGGCUGAUGAAAGAUAGAGCAGAAUUAGCGGUCCCUUGUUGAACUUGUAUGGUGCUGAAUGAGAUGUGUCCCGAUUACAAAGACCAAAAUGAUGGCAACACUCAAAGGAGACAAAGAGCUAAAAACAGGCCCAGUGACAUCACAGAGAAGCCACAGGCCUAAUGCUUAAUGACGGCCAUUCUCCAAACGCUUUCUCAUGAGUUUUAAACAAUAACAUACCCCAUUACUAGUUUGUCCACAUAACCGAUUCAGUUUAAGAGCAGAUCACAGAUUCUAACUAAUGCACUGUUCUGUUAUAAUACUGCUAUGUGUGUGUAUUACAAAAGCACUGAGAAAGAAAAAGCCCGUUUCUAAAGUGAAUAGCAUUGUGUUCAAUGGCAAAAGGAAAGUUGAACUCUCCAAAACAACCUGAAGUCUUCUGAGUCACUUGGCAGAGGAGUAACAUAACUCAAUUCAAAGCUUGCCUGGGUUUUACAGAGGCACUAAGGAAACUGAACAAUCUCUCAGUGGCUCUUCUAGCCAUAAUCCCACCGAACAUUUGCCUCCUAAACACAGAAUAAGGUUUUGUAAAGGCUUCACAUCACAGCUUUGUGCUCCAUUGCGAAAAGCUAUACUCUUAAACACCCUCCAACCCCCCAAACACACACACAACGACAACCCCCCACCCUUCUGUGAAUGAGGGGAGUUUUCUACAGCUGGGUAACAAAGCAUGACCCAAUAAUCCUCAAGCCUGACUCAAAGCUAGAACCUCCUCUCUAAGGACUCUAAGGACAGAGGCUGUGGGCAAGGGUGGGGUGGCAGAAUUACACAAACAUAAGUGAGAAUUAAUUAUUCUUAUCAAAUCAGUUUCCUGUAACAAGCUGCCCGCCACUAAAUAUUUGGGGCAGAAAAUUUGACCAUUCAGAGGCUAACGAUGAAUUCAACAUCAUGCACAUCCCGAGGCUUGGGUGUUCCGCUAUUGCGAUGGCUUCUGGAAAGAGUUCAAAUUAUGUUGUGAACUUCCUGGCAAACUUCGGAGUAAGCCUGGCUUAGGCCUCUCAGGGAACCAGAACAGCAGGUGUGGGGAAAAGUAAUGACAGGACUCCAUUUUACUGGCUGUCACAUCCCAGCAUGCUCGGCGCUGUCCAGUCGAGUGCACCGACUGAAAGAUGACAAGCUGACAGCUCACCACACAGGAUACCAGGCGUCUAAUGACAUUCUGCGAGUCCUCUGUGUGAGUGUGAUUGUUCGUCUGGGGGAAUGUUGCCACAUCAACACAAAAUCGAACAAUGGACCAAAAUAUAAUGGCUCUGGACGCUACCAGUUUCCAAGGCAACAAUUGUGACAGAUUUGGGGGAGACAAGACAGGUAAUUGGAAAAAGAUUGAUGGGGUACAAGAGAGUGGAAAAAAAACCCUAUCAAAGGAGGUCUCUCUGGGAAUAACAACAAUACAAUAAAGGGUCUUGCAUCCUCUUGGACCAUCCGCGGCCUCCUGUCCAUCUAUUUUCAGGCCCAAUUCAAUAGCUGCAACACAUCUGUCAGUCUUCCGUCAUGUUUGGGUGUACCAAAAAAAUGGUGUAUCGUUAAAAUAAAGUGGCAGCUAAAUUAAUUCAUCCGCA